GAUGAACGCUGGCGGCGUGCUUAACACAUGCAAGUCGAACGGUGAAGCAGGAGCUUGCUCUUGUGGAUCAGUGGCGAACGGGUGAGUAACACGUGAGCAACCUGCCCCUGACUCUGGGAUAAGCGCUGGAAACGGCGUCUAAUACUGGAUAUGUGAUGUGACCGCAUGGUCUGCAUCUGGAAAGAAUUUCGGUUGGGGAUGGGCUCGCGGCCUAUCAGCUUGUUGGUGAGGUAAUGGCUCACCAAGGCGUCGACGGGUAGCCGGCCUGAGAGGGUGACCGGGCACACUGGGACUGAGACACGGCCCAGACGCCGACGGGAGGCAGCAGGGGGGAAUGUUGCACAAUGGGCGGAAGCCUGAUGCAGCAACGCCGCGUGAGGGAUGACGGCCUUCGGGUUGUAAACCUCUUUUAGCAGGGAAGAAGCGAAAGUGACGGUACCUGCAGAAAAAGCACCGGCUAACUACGUGCCAGCAGCCGCGGUAA
rnacentral:rRNA from 1 species